rnacentral:rRNA from 1 species
GAUGAACGCUGGCGGCGUGCCUAAUACAUGCAAGUCGAGCGAACAGACGAGGAGCUUGCUCCUCUGACGUUAGCGGCGGACGGGUGAGUAACACGUGGAUAACCUCCCUAUAAGACUGGGAUAACUUCGGGAAACCGGAGCUAAUACCGGAUAAUAUAUUGAACCGCAUGGUUCAAUAGUGAAAGACGGUUUUGCUGUCACUUCUAGCUGGAUCCGCGCCGCAUUAGCUAGUUGGUAAGGUAACGGCUUACCAAGGCAACCAUGCGUAGCCGACCUGAUAGGGUGAUCGGCCACACCGGAAGUGAGACACGGUCCAGGGUCCUACGGGAGGCAGCAGUAGGGAAUCGGCCGCAAUGGGCGAAAGCUUGACGGAGCAACGCCGCGUGAGUGAUGAAGGUCUUCGGAUCGUAAAACUCUGUUAUUAGGGAAGAACAAAUGUGUAAGUAACUAUGCACGUCUUGACGGUACCUAAUCAGAAAGCCACGGCUAACUACGUG